ACUGACAGCCAUGGUUACCGCGGCUGCUGGCACGGAGUUAGCCGGUGCUUCUUCUGUGAGUGAUGUCCUUCCUGCCGGCUAUUAACCCGCAGGCCUUCUUCCUCACUGAAAGUGCUUUACAACCCGAAGGCCUUCUUCACACACGCGGCAUGGCUGGAUCAGGGUUGCCCCCAUUGUCCAAUAUUCCCCACUGCUGCCUCCCGUAGGAGUCUGGGCCGUGUCUCAGUCCCAGUGUGUCUGAUCAUCCUCUCAGACCAGCUACGGAUCGUCGCCUUGGUGAGCCGUUACCUCACCAACCAGCUAAUCCGACAUAGGCUCAUCCGAUAGCGCGAGGCCCGAAGGUCCCCCGCUUUCCCCCGUAGGGCGUAUGCGGUAUUAGCCUGGGUUUCCCCAGGUUAUCCCCCACUACCGGGCAGAUUCCUAUGCAUUACUCACCCGUCCGCCGCUCGCCACCAGGGAGCAAGCUCCCCGUGCUGCCGCUCGACUUGCAUGUGUUAGGCCUGCCGCCAGCGUUCAAU
rnacentral:rRNA from 1 species